AGAUGUUAGUAAAACAAUUACCUAAUCUUGUCAAGAUUAAAUCACAGGUGAAAAUCCUGUACACCUCAU
rnacentral:tRNA from 1 species